rnacentral:rRNA from 1 species
UGGGGAAUCUUGCACAAUGGGGGCAACCCUGAUGCAGCGACGCCGCGUGAGCGAUGAAGCCCUUCGGGGCGUAAAGCUCUUUCGACCGGAACGAUAAUGACGGUACCGGGAGAAGAAGCUGCGGCUAACUACGUGCCAGCAGCCGCGGUAAUACGUAGGCAGCAAGCGUUGUUCGGAGUUACUGGGCGUAAAGAGUGCGUAGGCGGUUUUCUAAGUUCGGUGUGAAAUCUCCCGGCUUAACUGGGAGGGUGCGCCGAAGACUGGGAAGCUGGAGUGUGGGAAAGGCAGGCGGAAUUCCUGGUGUAGCGGUGAAAUGCGUAGAUAUCAGGAGGAACACCGGCGGUGUAGACGGCUUGCUUGACCAUAACUGACGCUGAGGCACGAAAGCGUGGGUAGCAAACA